ACAGUUCUACGUUUGGACCCUGUGUCUCAAAAAUCUAACAGUGCCUCCUCAAGUCAGGAAAAUCCCUUUGCCAUUUCUUGCAAAGGCAAAGGGAAUCUCUUUGGUCCUUCAGUUACUUCUUCUUCUUCUUAUCUCUCUUCGUCCUUCCUCUAGGCCUUCAAUUUUAUCAGAUCUUCACUAGUAAACUGCACAUUCACAUCUUUGAAAGUCCACAACUUGAAGGUUCUUAUGUAGGGGACUUAUUGUACUCACAAGCAAUAGCCACUGUCUCAGCACUUUUUGCACUGAUUCCAAUAGUGUGAUACUAAGAGGGUGUGAUGACACUUGUCCCUGCAUGGCUUUCAUUAAAGAAGUUCCUUAGAGAACUGGAUCUUUAUAAAGAGAGUAAGCUUGGCUGCCUUAGCUCCAAAGGAGGACAUUCUUUAUUAUACUGAACAGUAAGCAUGGCUGCUCUUUGCCCCAGAGAGAGACACUAUCUCAAUCUCAAUCUUCUAAGGCUGCUUACACACAAUGUGCAUACAUGUGUGCGUGCUCAGGCAUGUAGGACACUUUACAACUUUGUGGACUGUAGUAGGUUUAUAAUACUUUCUCACAAAUAAUAUAUAAAAACAAAAAGUAAACAUUUUUAAUCUUAUAGCACAGCACCUUGAAAAGUACAGUAGUACAGUACAACCACUGGCAUCCAGGAGCUGGCAGUGAGUGAAUGGGCAAGAAGAGUUACUGACUGGAGGAGGGAUAAAAGGUGGGAGGUGGUAGAACUGAAGGAUCAAUGGCAAUAGGAGACAGAGGGCAAGCUGCAAUCUCACUUGCAACUGAUGUUGAUGGCAUAUGUUCUGGUUUCUUGCUGGAUUCAAUUCUAUCUAUCCUGUUUUUUUAAAAAAAGAAAAUCCAGUAUGUCUGAGUAGUAGCUCUUUUCUUCCCAUCAUAGAAGACACAGCAGCACUGGAUUGCAUUCUGUACGGCUGUUGCAACCUUCAUGUACAGUUCUACGUUUGGACCCUGUGUCUCAAAAAUCUAACAGUGCCUCCUCAAGUCAGGAAAAUCCCUUUGCCAUUUCUUGCAAAGGCAAAGGGAAUCUCUUUGGUCCUUCAGUUACUUCUUCUUCUUAUCUCUCUUCUUCAAAUCCUCUUCCCCUCCCACUCCUCUUCUGCUGGAUGAGCUUGGACUCUUUCACAAGCCAGGACUCGAAGAGAUCUUGGACUCUUUCACAAGCCAGGACUCGAAGGGAAAGGGACUUCUGCAACAUGGCUCCUCUUAUCCAAUGAAUCCCCUGAGACCUGAUUCCACCAUAAUGCCAUCCACUCAGGGACAAUGUCCUCAUCCGUGGGACUCCUGAGUGGAAGGAAUGAGCAACUGCUGGCCCCAGGGCAGGUGGAAGAAGGGUUCAGACAGCUGGACUUUGGGUCAGGGGCUCCCAAACCAGACCCUAAAGGUGACCACUCUGGCCAGGCCUCACCAUGAGAAGAGAGGGGAACUAUGCCCAGAGGGGGUCAGGAAACGUGCUAAGGAAGUAGGUCAGCGGGAAAAGGCGAGCAGACAAUGCAGGGGGACGACUGUCUUGGAGCCCCGUACGUGAGAAUGUUACACUACCUGCUUGCUUUUCAAAGAGAAAGGUUUUUCAUGUUUCAGACAAAACCAAUGAAUAUUUCCCCCAUGAUGAGUCUUUUUUUUAGAGGAAAAUCUCCUAUAUUCUAAGUUUGUAUUCACCUACCAAGAGCCUAAAGUAAGAUGUUACAGGUAAAGGCUGUAUGAUUAUAUCUAUAAAACUCAACAGGGAAUAUUGUCUUAAAAUAUAAGAUUUUCCAAUGUUUGGUCUGAAUAUCUUUUCACAAUGAAGUCCAUAAGUAGGGACACAAUUUCCUAAAAUCUCACUUUAUCUGCUAUACUAGUUUUCACCAUCUAAACGGAAGCAAGAUAUGAUUUUUGUUCUUUCAAAUAGCAACAAGUUGCUCAGUUAUUCCAGAACAGGAAAAAAACAUUAAAUAUGUCACCAUAAAUUACUAAAAUUUGGUUACUAUUUGUAAGUCUAAAAUUAACAAAAUAAUACCAUCACCAUGAUUCAUCUUCUAUGUUCCUGAAUUUAUACUACCAACAGAGAGAAAGUUUGUAUUGGAUGGUUAGAAAACUUCUGAUGAAGUAGCAGGAAGGGACAAGAUGGAAACCACAAUAAGCAGUUCUUUACCUCGACUGAGCACCAAGAGGGAGCUGCCAAAAUAACCCAGGCUUGCAAAAAAAAUCACAGCAUCCAGCUGUGGGCUUGUCCACCAACUUGAGACAAUUUCUCAAAGCCCUUUCUA
ensembl:lncRNA